UCACAGCUUGUUAUCUUCAUCGUCCCAACACAUCUGCCUCCAGCCCUACCACUGAAAGUUGAUCUCAAGUAAAGGCCAGUGCUGUGACCAUGUACAUCCAUAAAGCACUUCUGUACUCUCUUCUUCAGGAUCUCUAAACAAUAUCAGUGUAGAAACAGAAGGUUCCUGCUUGUGGUUUGUCCUACAUUACAAGAUAGAUCUGACUGAAUGAAUGCAUUCCUAUGGAACAACUUCACCAAAAAAAAGAGUCACUGACCCCAGCUGAAUGGACUGUUGCCAGAGAAGGUAAUAUAAUAUAAUUCCAAGGCAUAUAAUACCUAUUACAAUGCAAUAUGUAUAAUUGUGGUUAAAAUACUGUAUGUAUGUGUAUAUAGCACAUUAUAUAAUGGUAUUAUAGUAUUUUGAAAUUGCUUAACAU